rnacentral:lncRNA from 1 species
GACACUUCUUGUAUCUGAAUCCUUCCUCUGCAAUCCAUCCCUCCUUUUUCCUCUCCAAGUCACUCUCUCCUCUCGUCCCUAUCUGUGAUCCCCUUCUCCUCUCUUCCUUCCUUCCUGGGGUGUUACAUGGAGAGGAUGAAGUCCGACAAGAAUUGACCCGACCUGUCGGGCAGAAGCCACCGAAGAGGAUGACCUCCGUCAAGAAUUCAGCCGACCCGCCCCAGGUGGCCCUCUAGCCGGAUCCGCUCCUCCGGCAAGAACCCCUUCCCGAGCACGACCACGCUUCCCCGAGCAGGACGGCGAGCACGAGAUCAUCAGAGAGGAUGAACUCGGUCAAUUCAUCCAUCCGCAAGCUUCAGCGAGAUCGGCGGAGCUGCGUUCGGAAAGAGCUCAACCAGAUGCAAGCCCGGCGAGCUCCGGCGAGGUGCAUGAGUGAGGUCGGCUGGCUUCAAAAUCCGUCAAGGUUGGUGCAAGAAGAGGACGGGGAGCUCCGGCAAGGUUAGUGCGAGGAGGUUCCUCCAGCAAGGUGCGUGCAUGCUUUUUCUGGGAAUUUAUUUGUCUUCGGGAAGAAGCUAGCUUCGGCGGAUUUAGGCCUGAUUUGGUUGAGGCAAGGGCUCUACUUGUUUUAGAUGUGCAUGGCCACCAGUUCGUGCCCAGCACCUCCGCUGGACUGGCUUCCCCACCCAGACGAAGAGGGCGCCGGGGCGGAGCAAGCGGUUCACCUCGAGCAGCAGCAGCUUGCCUCCCUGGAUGUGGCACGGCACCGCGUGUAGUGCGCGAGCAUGAACUGCAGAGAUGGUCGGAGUUAUAUUUAUCAGUAGUUUCUACACUAUGCUUUGUGAAAUAUCUCUAUUAUGUACCUCCCUCACAAACAUUCAUGGCAGCUUAGCAAAUGUAGAUGAUUUUUAUCUAAACUUUUGGAACUGGAUACCAAAAGCGUACCUACUUCCUACUUUGCAUAAACAGGUGAGUUGUUCUGUACAGACUCCAUAAUUGUACUGUACAGACCAAAUGUUCUGUUGUUCAUAUACAUGAACAGGUGAGUUGUUCUCACUCUAUGACAUUGUCCCAUUUAAGCUUUCUUAGAUUUGAAGCAAUGUGUCCAUUGCAUUAUCUAACAAUGUUUGAGGAACAGUGCGUAGCUAGGUAAAGUAAACUAGCGGUCUAGAAGACAUACAUCUUCACUAAGAUUUCUGAAUUCUUCAGAAUACGCAAUCACCAAUGCAGGAGCCAAAUAUACAUUAGAACUUUCAAGGCAGUUUUCCAGCUAAAUGCAAAUUAGAGGGAUUAAGAAAGUAAGGAAAGACCAUACAACAGAUCGCCAUAACAUAAGAGGAGUGAUGUAAUGGAAAAAGGAAAUUAAGUUGGUACAUGUCUUGCAGUUUCUAUCAGAUUGGCGUCAAAAUUCAUCCGAAAGUAGAGAAUAAGCAGACAACAUCCACGUGGUCAAGCAUUCGAAUCCUCCUGUCCUCUCGCGCCAAGGAAAUUCAGACUGAUUUGCAUGCACUGUAUGUUGUAUGAACAUGGAGGUGCAGUCACCCGAGGUGAAGAAGCUCCAUCACCUACCUCUACCUCCUCCACUAUGCUGACAAGUAAUGCUUAAAUCUUUUAAGUAAUAAAGCGCCCCUUUUCGAAAAAAUUACUUCCUCCCUGCCUGUGAUUUAUUACUUCGAGCCUGCUGUUCUUUUAUUAUAUAUGCAAAUCUGUCUAUGCUUAAAUGUGGAAAUAGGAGAAACGAAGUGCUCUUUAGUAGAUGCAAAACUGUCCAUGCUAGAAUUGGACCAAGAAUUACUGGUGUUGCCUAUUUGAUAUGUAAACAUAGUGUUUUUGGAUGUUGGAAAAGGAUACUCAAAGUAAUAAAGAGCUUCUUGAAUGCAUGGAAACAAAAAGGUUAGAUAUCUCAGAGUCACUAUGUCAUAUAUUCUGAAAGUGAUGCACAUGGAUAUGUAUAUUCUUGGUUAGUUUCUGUUCUGUUCUGUUGUAUAUGUUCUAAGAGUCUAAAAGAAGAUGAGGUAGAGCUACUUGAUUUCUGGUAAAAUUUCUGUAACAGUAGAGCAAUAUUGGCCUUUUCUUUUUCGUGUAUUACAUAGUGACCAUGGAGUCAAAGCUCAUGGAGAUGGUCGAUUACUGACUGUUGCACUUAUAUAGAGCACACCAAUAUAAUAUCUGCUGGUUCAUCUGACUUUUUGACGGCCUUUUAAGAGAGGCAAAAUGUUCUUAAUCAAGCAUAUGGUAAUCAGAUAAAUGUGUUCUCAAUCAACACAUUGUGCAUUCCCGUGCAUCUUGGUUUACUAUUGUAGGCUACUUGGUUUGCCGUUGUAGGCAAUAUUUGUGACCCCUGAAAAUCAUCUUGUGCUUUGCUGUAUAAGCAAUAUGGUGUGCAUUCCCGUGCGACUUGGUUUACUACUGUAGGAUACUUGGUUUGUCAUUGUAAGAAAUAUUUGUGGCCCCUGAAAAUCAUCUUGUGCUUUGUCAUGCAUGCCACAUGGUGUGCAUUUCCUCAACACAUGCUUUACUAACAGAGGCCACACAUUUUUUUGCCAUGCUUUAAAAAAAGGACAGAAAACACACAGAGGCGAUACCAAAAAGAUAUGGGGGUGAGGGUUUGAGUUUUUGUACAUUUGCUCGGAAAGAUGUUGGCAGCUUUGUUGAAUUGAACUUCUCAAUCUUGGACAGCCCCACAGAGAGGUUGCAUCUGUUGUUGUGCUGGAAGUAAGCCUUCAGCUGCGAUUUUCAAAAGAGAGAGAAGAAAGGUUAGUGGCCGUGACCAGUUAGCCCUGCAGAUGGUAAAGGGGAACAAAUAGGCAAGUAUACAGGGAAGGUCGCAAGAUAAAGGGGGAAAAGGUUUUAAUUCAAACAGUCAGAGUGUUCCUACUCUGUCAGCAAAUCCAAAAUAAAAUGCCCCUCCUCUGUUUAACAUAUACGAGCACUUGCCUAACUGAUGCAUGUUAAGGACUCUAUGGAAAACUUCCCAUACAGAUUUAGGCCUGCUAGAACGAACCAGCACAUGCAGCAAACCAAGUAUAAUUGCAUAACUGACGUAUGUUAAGAACUCUAUGAAAAAUUCCGCAUACUGAUUCAGGCGGUCAGACCUGCGAGAACGAACCAGUACUUGCAACAAACCAUGUUAAGGACUCUUUGCAAUGAUUCUUCGGUCAAUAUAGAAAAGAAUGCCAAUAUCAACAAAUCUUCGCAGCAGGAAGUGCUACAUGCAGCAACAUAUAUGAUUAUGCAGACAACCUUGCUCAGACCACUAUACAAAAACAAAAUUGAAAUGACUUGCCUUGUUCAGUUCAGUUCAGACAACCUUCUUCUUACCCCAAGUGUUAUUUUUGAAAAAUAUCAUCUGCCUACCAUACAAUUAUCUAACUAAUGCUUGUAGUAAUGCAAAAAAUAAAUAAAUAGCCCUAGGUAUGUUGAAUAAAAUUGCCAUUUCGUUCUCUGUAAAAAAUGCCAAAAAAUGUUUGCCUCAAGUCUCAAUCCCUGCAUAUGUCCCCAUGGUCCCAAGCUAUGUGAAUCCCACAAAAAUGUCCCAUCAAUAAAUAAAAUCCAUUUGAUGGAUAGUAAAAUUGCCUCUGAAUGCUCCACGUGGAUCCACAUAAUUGCCUAGCUGUUGCUAUGUAACUGCUCACGCAACCGGAUUGAUGAACAAAAUACUUCCCGUUGUUCGUGCCUCUUCCUCUCCCGGCUCUCUCCUCUGUACACCCUCCCCAGCACCACCCCACACGCGACUAGGACUGGGAGAAAAAAACGCAUGGAUGCAUCAUUCAUGGGUAAAAAACAAAGGGAAGACAACACGAGCGUAGUUUCUGUAGGGACUCACCUAGCGGCUUAGCUCUGUAGUCGCGCGGACAAACCUCUGUUGCGCUGGCCGCAGUCGCGCAAGCUGUCGGCAGCGGGCGGCUCGGCUCUCUCGCCGCCCGAACGUUCCUCUUGUUAGAAUACAACUUGUAUUAGGAUUAUAAUUCCUAUUCGGUUUAUAAUAAGUUUAGGUCAGGUGCGGCUUAGCUCCAUCAGAUCGGUCUCUGAUACCAUGAGGUGCGGCUUAGCUCCAUCAGAUGCGGCUACUCUGAUACCAUGUAGAAGUGUAUGAUCCAGCCAAUGCAAUCAAAAGACUAAUCUGAUGGAAGAGACUAGGCAGCACAUUAUACGUCAAUACUUAUAUAUACUUCUUGCACCGGCACAAUAUUAAAUCAAAAAUUAUUCAAUACAGUUCUACAUGGUAUCAGACUUUCGAUCCUAGGGUAUGGCUAACCCGCCAGCCCCGCCACCAUCGUCGCCGCCAAGGUCGCCGCGGCCACGGCCUCCUCCUCCACCUCUACCUCUACUCUAGCUCUACGUCCACCAAUACCCCCUUCCAUCUUCUUCACCGACACCAUCUCCGAUAUUAGCCCCUACAUCCCCGUAACCCUAGACCUCGCUGCUCACAACUACUACCAUUGGCGUCACCUUUUCGACGUCCACCUUGGGCGAUGCAAUCUCCGCUCUCACGUUGUCGACGACUCUCUUCCUCAACUUCAUGAUCCGCAAUGGGUCAAGGAUGAUCUCGCCAUUAUUCAAUGGAUCUACAUGCGAGUCUCCACAGAGAUUUUCAAUCUCGUCCACCGUGACGGUGCCUCCGCCGCCGACCUAUGGGCGGCCCUUCGUCAGCUCUUCCAGGACAACGUCGACGCUCGCGCCAACAAUCUCCACACCGAGCUUUGGAAUACGGUGUAAGGUGAUUCACCAGUCGGCGUCUACUGCCAACGCCUCAAGGCGAUCGCGGAUGAACUUCGCGAACUUGGUGAUCCCAUCGACGAUCAGCAACUCAUCAACGUCCUCCUCAUCGACCUCAGCGAGCGGUUCGAGAAGCAGGGCUCCUUCAUCCCUAUGAUGUGUCUGUGUCCCUCCUUCGCCGAGGUUCGCUCGAUGAUCCAAUGGGCCGAUCGUGCCCUAACUACGAAGGACUCCCGUCCUCAGGUCUUCACUGCUUCUCCUCGCCCGCCUGCGUCGACGCCACCACCGCCACCUCCACCAACAGCACCUCCUCAACCAUCCGGCUAGCGUCCAAGUCCCAACUACCGGGGAAAAAACCCUAGGCCGCCGCAGUUCCGCACGGCGCCCGCUCCUACUCCGCCCCGACUCCACCAACUGCACCACCGCCGCCCCCGGCUUCAUCAACUGCACCACCACCGCCGCCCGGAUGGCGGCCAUCUCUCGAUCCAUGGACAGGGCUAGUCCAAGCGUGGCCUAUGUCUUGGUACGCCCCUAUGCCAUAUGGUGCCCCGCCUGCCUAUACCGGUGGCUGGCAGCCCGGUGCUCGCCCUCACACCGGCGCGCCCGUCCUCGCGCCUCGACAGCCGACGGCUGCGUACCACGCUUCUUCCUCCUACGCGCCACCGAUCUACAACACUAGUCCUUAUGCAUCCUAUGGCACUCCAUUGUCCCCCUACAUGCAAUAGUACAAUGAUGGUGUCUCUCUCUUUACGCCGAUGUCGGCCCUAUUGCCGACGCCACCACACCCGCAAGCUCCCAUGACUACACCGGCCUCUACUUCGACUCCGAGCUCAGACCAAGCUGCUUUUCUACAAGCCAUGAACAACUUUGCUGCACAAGGGAACUCAGGUACGGAUUGGAUUUUCGAUUCUGGUGCUUCUCGUCAUAUGUCUGCAUCGAGUAAUUUGCUUUCUUCUUGCACACCUUCAUCUUUUCCCUCUAUUACUCUCGGUGAUGGAUCUUCUAUUCCUAUUUACUAUGUCGGUCAGGCUCAAAUCCAAUCCCCAAUUAAGCCUUUGCUUCUUCGUGAUGUUCUUGUAGCUCCUGCUCUUAUUAAAAAUCUUAUUUUUGUUCGUCAAAUCACCACUGAUAAUCAUGUUUCUGUUGAGUUUGACCCCUUUGGUUUGUCUGUGAAGGACUACCCGACCAAAGCCGAGAUCGCUCGAUUCAAUAGCUCCGGUGAUUUAUAUUCUCUCCAUUGUGCUUUGGUCGCUGCUCCUCCAACAUGUAUGGUGCCCUCUGUUGAUCUAUGGCACCAACGUCUCGGCCAUCCCAAUAAAAAAAUGUGUUAUCCACACUUCUUAGUGAAUUUUCACCUUGUACUAGAGACUCUCAUAAUUCUUCUAUGUAUCAAUCAUGUCAAUUGGGCAAACAUGUUCGCCUUCCCUUUAGUUCCUCUCAAUCCUCUAGUACUUUUCAUUUUGAAUUACUUCAUUGUGAUCUCUGGACAUCACCCAUAGAAAGUGUAUCUGGUUUUAAGUAUUAUCUCGUGAUUCUUGAUGAUUUUACUCAUUAUGUUUGGACUUUUCCUUUACGCAACAAAUCCGACGUUCAUAAUAUAUUCCUUAAUUUUCAGCGCUAUGUCUCGGUCCACCUUUUCCUCCCUAUAAGAUUCAUCUAAUGUGAUAAUGGUCGUGAAUUUGACAACUUUAAAAAUCAAAAUUUCUUUCUACAAUAUGAAAUUCUCUUGCGCUUCUCAUGUCCUUAUACCUCCCCUCAAAACGAUAAAGCCGAGUGUUCUCUUCGUACUCUUAGUGACAUCAUUCGCACUCUGCUUGUUCAAUCUUCUAUGCUUUGAAGUUCUGGGCUGAGGCCCUCCACACGGCCACAUAUUUACUCAAUAUUCGUCCAUCCAAAGUUAACCCACAAACUACUCCUUACUUCUCUUUAUUUCUCUCUCAUCCAAAUUACUCCGACGUUCGCGUCUUCGGGUCUUUGUUUCCCAAACUCCUACUCCACUUCUCCUAACAAACUUUCCCCGCGCUCUACCCCGUGUGUCCAUCUAAGUUUUUCUGGCGAGCACAAGGGUUAUCGUUGUCUAGAUCUUGUCAGUGGUCGUGUUCAUGUGUCUUGUCAUGUAACAUUCGCUGAAAACAUUGUUCCCUUUUUCGAGUGUCAACAAUUAGAUCCCAACUCACCCACACCGUCCACUAGUCCCUCUCAUCGCAAUCAUCUUCCCCUCUUUCACUCGCCGACCUAUCCAGUGAAACCAGCCGAAUCCUCUACCGCGGUAGCGGAUCCUGCCGCGACCACUUCUGUCAUCACCUCUAUUCCGGCAGAGGAAAACCCAUUACACUCUGUCACGGCAGACAUCCUGCCGCCGCAGUCUUCACCGCCAUCUCUCGCGUCCGCUUCCUUCGCUGUGCCAGACACGUCCACCACCUUCCCCCACCCCUCCUGCUCAUGCUAUUCCCAUUCCAGCUCCGACUAACGAUCAUACCAUGCGCACACAUGCCAAGUCCGGGUUUUGUUUACCUGCAAAAGAUUGUCUCAAUCUUCAUGCAUCUCUAUCUCCUUCCUCUCUACCCAAAUCUUACAAAUCAGCUCUCCUAGAUCCUAAUUGGGCCGCAUCCAUGAAAGAUGAAUAUGAUGUCCUUCUACAGAAUAACACAUGGCAGUUAGUUCCUCGUCCUUCCAAUACAAAUAUUGUUUCAGGCAAAUGGGGUUUUCGCCAUAAAUUUAAUUCUGAUGGGAGUCUUGCACGUUAUAAGGCUCGGUGGGUAUGUCGUGGUUACUCUCAGCAACACGGCAUCGAUUAUGAUGAGACUUUCUCUCCAGUUGUCAAGCCCAGCACUAUUCGCAGUGUCCUUAGCAUUGCCGUCUCUUCUUCCUGGCCAAUUCAUCAACUAGAUGUCAAAAAUGCUUUUCUUCAUGGCUCUCUUCAAGAAACAGACUAUUGUCAACAACCUCUUGGCUUCGAACAUUCCUCCUAUCCUAAUCAUGUUUGUCUUCUUCAAAAAUCUCUUUAUGGUCUUAAACAAGCGCCACGUGCCUGGUUCCAACGCUUUUCUACUUAUACUCAAAACCAUCGGUUUUACCCCUUCCCGUUCUGACACUUCACUCUUCACCUUUCAUCACAAUAACAACACUGCUUACCUUCUUUUAUAUGUUGAUGAUAUUAUCCUCACAGCUUCCUCACAACAAUUUUUAGAUCAUAUUAUCUCUCUUCUUCACCACGAAUUCUCUAUGACAGAUUUAGGUCUUCUUCCCCACUUCUUAGGUAUUGUUGUUAUCCGUGACUCCUCUGGUCUUUUCUUGUCUCAACGUUAGUACACUCUGGAUCUUCUUUCUCAUGCUGGUAUGCUUGAUUUUCAAACUUCCCGUACCCCUGUUGAUACAGGUUCCAAACUCUUUGCCGACGGUGAUCCUUUCUCCGAUCCUUCUCUUUACCAUAGUCUUACCGGUGCAUUCAGUAUAUCACUCUCACUCAUCCUGAAAUCUCUUUUGUUGUCCAACAAGCUUGUUUAUACAUGCAUGAUCCUCGUAUUCCACACUACAAUCAUGUCAAACGUAUUCUUCGGUAUCUCAAAGGCACACUAGACUUAGGUCUUCAUAUCAACAAAUCCUCUCCCACCUCCUUGACAGCUUACUCUGAUGCAGACUAGGUUGGUUGUCUAGAUACUCAUAGGUCCACAUCCUGAUUUUGUGUUUUUCUUGGUAACAAUUUGGUUUAUUGGUCUUCAAAAAGGCAGGUUACGGUCUCCCGCUCAUCCGCUGAAGCUGAGUACCACGAUGUGGCUCAUGCGGUUGCUGAUACGGUUUGGUUGCGCCAGUUGUCGUCGGAGCUGCACCAUCCUAUUGAGCAAGCUACCAUUGUUUACUGUGAUAAUAUUUCAGUUGUCUACAUGUCAGGAAAUCUGGUUCAACACCGUCGCACCAAGCAUAUUGAGAUCGACAUUCAUUUUGUUCGAGAGAAGGUGGCUCUCGGUCAAGUUCGCAUUCUCCACGUGCCUACUUCUGCUCAAUUUGCUGAUAUCUUUACUAAAGGCCUCGCGACUACUCCGUUUCAAGACAUUCGUUUCAGUCUCAACGUCGUCGAGCUUACCGUUGACACUGCGGGGGGUGUUAGAAUACAACUUGUAUUAGGAUUAUGACUCCUAAUCGGUUUGUAAUAAGGCUAGGUCAGGUGCGGCUUAGCUCUUAUAUAUACUUCUUGUACCCGCACAAUAUUGAAUCAACAAUUAUUCAAUACAAUUCUACACCUCUACCCCGCUGCGGUCGCACGAACUAUCGACGCAACAGCGGCUUAACUUCCUCGCCACAUGGCCUCGCUCUCCCCCGCCACGGUCGCGCAAUUUAUUGCCACCGAGCAGCUGAUCCUCCACUCGCCAUCGCGGUCAUGUGAGUUAUCACUGGCGAGCAGCUUGCCCUCCACCGGCCGUUAAUUUUGUGCUGGCGAGCCCUAUCACUGUGGAAGAAAUAGGAAAGGGAUGGGGACAUGUUGACAUAUGACUAAGGAAAAAAGACCGAAAACGACAAACUGUGCCGACUAGGACCCCAUCGUGUCGCCCAGGAUCUCUACGCGAAUCCUACGGCUCGCGCGCGGCCGCUCAGACAGGAAGGAUCGUGCGCGCUCGCUUUGUAGCAUUUGUGUUUUAAUUUUUAAAUAUUAAUCUACAUAAUGUUGAUAAUUUGGUGUCUGAUACCUUUAAUAUAAGAUCAUAAUGAUAACAUUUCCCUUUCUUUUCUCAAGUUGAGUAGUAUUAAUUCAAACUAAUAUGUAUAUGUCAAGCUUCUUUUUUUAUCUGUUUCUUUUGAAGUCAAAUGAUUUUCUUGAGAUAUAAGUUUAAAAUAAUUUUCAGAUUGUAAUUUUAGAAUUUUCAUGAAGAAAAUGUUAUGGGUUCAGUGUAACAAUCAAACCAUAGUCAAGCUCUAGAUAGUGUCACGAGGUCAGCAUUGUGAAAAUGUAUGGUAUGUCUCUGGCAUGUGACUGUUAAUUAAGGUGUUCUGUAUGUUCUAUUAGCUCAUUUCUUUCUAUUUACCGCCUUACAUGGGUAUAUAUUGUUUGAUACAUAUGCAAUGCUUCAGUGUAUAGGCUUCACUGACUACAUAUAUUUUAUAGGAUUUAGAAAAUAUAGGGUACAUAUGUCUUGAUUGCAAGUCUGAACACACAAGAGUAUUGAUAGUUGAACCAAUGAACAUGUCCAACAGUUUAGAGUGUAUUCUUCUCUUUCUGGGAUGUUUAUUGGCUACUAUAAUAAACAAAAAUUGAUAGUUUUCAACAUGCCUUGGCAUAGAUUUGCUAACACUUCAAAGGAAAAAAUACCCUGAAUUCAUACUUGUGUGAUGCCUUGGGAUGUAAGCAUAAUGUACUUACCCGAAGCAUAUGUUAGCAUUUGAUAUAUUUCUACUUAAUUUUCAAAUUAUAUGUUGCACUCAGAGGAACUACUCUGUGUUAUCCAACCCGUAGCAACGCAUGGGCAUUUCACUAAUAGAAAAGGAAAUGAUCAACACAACAGCCAGCCCACAACCCCUCUCUCUCUCUCCCCCUUGCAGCCCAAUGCAUGGCCCAGCCAACUCUCUAACUCUACAAACCCAAAGCCUACUCAAGCCUCUCGUAUCCCUACCCCUGACAGCCCUCUCCCGUGCACUUGCUCCCAGGUGCAGCCGGCGCUGCGAGACGCACGCGCGCGCGACCCUAUUGCCCCUCUGGCCGGCGAGCUCCUCAGCUCCGCCGCGCACCUUCGUUAACAUUGUUGGAAAUAUGCCCUAGAGGCAAUAAUAAAAUGGUUAUUAUUGUAUUUCCUUGUUCAUGAUAAUUGUCUAUUGUUCAUGCUAUAAUUGUAUUAACCGGAAACCGUAAUACAUGUGUGAAUACAUAGACCACAACAUGUCCCUAGUAAGCCUCUAGUUGACUAGCUCGUUGAUCAAUAGAUGGUCAUGGUUUCCUGACCAUGGACAUUGGAUGUCAUUGAUAACGGGAUCACAUCAUUAGGAGAAUGAUGUGAUGGACAAGACCCAAUCCUAAGCCUAGCACAAGAUCGUAUAGUUUGUCUGCUAAAGCUUUUCUAAUGUCAAAUAUCAUUUCCUUAGACCAUGAGGUUGUGCAACUCCCAGAUACCGUAGGAAUGCUUUGGGUGUACCAAACACCACAACGUAACUGGGUGGCUAUAAAGGUGCACUAUGGGUAUCUCUGAAAGUGUCUGUUGGGUUGGCACGAAUCGAGACUGGGAUUUGUCACUCCGUGUAAACGGAGAGGUAUCUCUGGGCCCACUCGGUAGGACAUCAUCAUAAUGUGCACAAUGUGACCAAGGAGUUGAUCACGGGAUGAUGUGUUACGGAACGAGUAAAGAGACUUGCCGGUAACGAAAUUGAACAAGGUAUCGGGAUACCAACGAUCGAAUAUCGGGCAAGUACUAUACCGGUAGACAAAGGGAAUUGUAUACGGGAUUGACUGAAUCCUUGGCAUCGUGGUUCAUCCGAUGAGAUCAUCGUGGAACAUGUGGGAGCCAACAUGGGUAUCCAGAUCCCGCUGUUGGUUAUUGACCAGAGAGAUGUCUCGGUCAUGUCUGCAUUAUUCCCGAGCCCGUAGGGUCUACACACUUAAGGUUCGAUGACGCUAGGGUUAUAGGGAAAGUAUGUACGCAGUUAACGAAUGUUGUUCGUAGUCCCGGAUGAGAUCACGGACGUCACGAGGAGUUCCGGAAUGGUCCGGAGGUGAAGAUUGAUAUAUUGGACGAAGGGUUUUGGAGUCUGAAAGUGUUCCGGAGGUACCGGGUGAUGACCAGCAUGACCGAAAGGUGUUUCGGGAGCCCCGGCAAAUGUUGGGGGGCUUCAUGGGCCAAGGGAAGGGGGCAAACCAGCCCACUAAGGGGUUGUGCGCCCCCCUCACCUAUUCCCACGUGACCAGGGACUUUGGGGCGCCCCAUCUAGGGUUCCCACCUCCUGGCUUGGGGGCCAAGUCACCCAAGGGGGAGAUCCCAUCUGCCCUGGCCGCCGCCCCCCCUAGGGGAAACCCUAGGGCGCCUCCCCUUGACCUUGCCCCUAUAUAUAGUGGAGGUUUUGGGGCUGCACAACACACAAGUCUCUCUCUCCCAAGGCGCAGCCCUACCUCUCUCCCUCCUCGUCUCUCGUAGUGCUUGGCGAAGCCCUGCAGGAGUACCGCGCUCCUCCACCACCACCACACCGUCGUGCUGCUGCUGGACGGAGUCUUCCCCAACCUCUCCCUCUCUCCUUGCUGGAUCAAGGCGUGGGAGACGCCACUGGGCUGCAUGUGUGUUGAACGCGAAGGCGCCGUUGUUCGGCGCUUAGAUCGGAAUCGACCACGAUCUGAAUCACUGCGUGUAUGACUCCACCAACCGCGUUCUUGCAACGCUUCCGCUUAGCGAUCUUCAAGGGUAUGAAGAUGCACUCCCUCUCUCUCGUUGCUAGUAUCUCCUAGAUUGAUCUUGGUGACACGUAGGAAAUUUUUUGAAUUAUUGCUACGAUCCCCAACAGUGGCAUCAUGAGCUAGGUCUAUGCGUAGAUUCUAUGCACGAGUAGAACACAAAGUAGUUGUGGGCGAUGAUUUGUUCAAUUUUCUUGCCGUUAAUAGUCUUAUCUUGAUUCGGCGGCAUUGUGGGAUGAAGCGGCCCGGACCGACCUUACACUUACACUUACGUGAGACAGGUUCCACCGACUGACAUGCACUUGAUGCAUAAGGUGGCUGGCGGGUGUCUGUCUCUCCCACUUUAGUCGGAUCGGAUUCAAUGAAAAGGGCCCUUAUGAAGGGUAAAUAGAAAUUGGCAUAUCACCAUUGUGGUUUUCCGUAGGUAAGAAACGUUCUUGCUAGAAACCCAUAGCAGCCACGUAAAACAUGCGACAACAAUUAGAGGACGUCUAACUUGUUUUUGCAGGGUAUGCUAUGUGAUGUGAUAUGGCCAAAAGGAUGUGAUGAAUGAUAUAUGUGAUGUAUGAGAUUGAUCAUGUUCUUGUAAUAGGAAUCACGACUUGCAUGUCGAUGAGUAUGACAACCGGCGGGAGCCAUAGGAGUUGUCUUAAUUUAUUUAUGACCUACGUGUCAAUGAAAAGGCCAUGUAAUUACUUUACUUUAUUGCUAACCGUUAGCCAUAGUAGUAGAAGUAAUAGUUGGCGAGGCAACUUCAUGAAGACACGAUGAUGGAGAUCAUGGUGUCAUGCUGGUGACGAUGGUGUUCAUGUCGCGCCUCGAAGAUGGAAAUCAAAGGCACAAGAUGAUAUUGUCCAUAUCAUGUCACUUUAUGAUUUGCAUGUGAUGUUUGUCAUGUUUACAUCUUAUUUGCUUAGAACGACGGUAGCAUAAAUAAGAUGAUCCCUCGCAAUAAUUUUAAGAAAGUGUUCCCCCUAACUAUGCACCGUUGCUAAGGUCCGUUGUUCCGAAGCACAACGUGAUGAUCGGGUGUGAUAGAUUCUAACGUUCGCAUACAACGGGUGUAAGCCAGAUUUACACACGCAAUACACUUAGGUUAACUUGACGAGCCUAGCAUGUACAGACAUGGCCUCGGAACACGGAAGACCGAAAGGUCGAACAUGAGUCGUAUAGUGGAUACGAUCAACAUGAAGAUGUUCACCGAUGAUGACUAGUCCGUCUCACGUGAUGAUCGGACACGGCCUAGUUGACUCGGAUUAUGUAUCACUUAGAUGACUAGAGGGAUGUCUAUCUAAGUGGGAGUUCAUUGAAUAAUUUGAUUAUAUGAACUUAAUUAUCAUGAACAUAGUCAAAAGGUCUUUGCAAAUUAUAUCGUAGCUCACGCUUUGGUUCUACUGUUUUAGAUAUGUUCCUAGAGAAAUUUAGUUUGAGAGUUGACAGUAGCAAUUAUGCGGACUGGGUCCGUGAACUGAGGAUUGUCCUCAUUGCUGCACAGAAGGGUUAUGUCCUUAAUGCACCGCUCGGUGUGUUGAACCUCGAGCAUCGUCUAUAGAUGUUGGGAAACAUCUGACAUACACGUUUUGAUGACUACGUGAUAGUUCAGUACGUAAAACUAACGGUUUAGAAUUGUGGCACCAAAGACGUUUUUGAAACAUAGCAGAACAUAUGAGAUGUUCCAAAGACUGAAAUUGGAAUUUCAGACUAGUGCCCAUGUCAAGAGGUAUGAGACCUCUGACAAGUUUCUUAAGCCUGCAAACUAAGGGAGAAAAACUCAAUCGUUGAGCAUGUGCUCAGAUUGUCUGAGUACUGCAAUCGCUUGAAUCGAGUGGGAGUUAAUCUUCCAGAUGAGAUAGUAAUGGUUCUCCAUAGUCACUGCCACCAAGCUAUUGGAGCUUUGUGAUGAAUUAUAACAUAUCAGGGAUAGACAUGAUGAUCCUUGAGCAACUCGCGAUGUUUGACACCGCGAAAGUAGAAAUCAAGUAGGAGCAUCAAUUGUUGAUGGUUAAACCACUAGUUUCAAGAAGGGAAAGGGAAAGAAGGGAUACUUCAUGAGACGGCAAAUCAGUUGCUGCUCUAGUGAAGAAACCUAAGGUUGAACCAAACCCGAGACUAAGUGCUUCUAUAAUGAGGGGAACAGUCACUGAAGCAGAACUACCCUAGAUACUUGGUAGAUGAGAAGGCUGGCAAGGUCGACAGAAGUAUUUUGGAUAUACGUCAUAUUAUUAUGUACUUUACUAGUACUCCUAGUAGCACCAGGGUAAUAAAUACCGGUUCGGUUGCUAAGCGUUAGUAACUCGAAAUAAAAGGCUGCGGAGACUAGCUAAAGGUGAGAUGACGAUAUGUGUUGGAAGUGUUUCCAAGGUUGAUGUGAUCAAACAUCGCACGGGAUUGGUGUUAAACCGAAAUAAUCGUUAUUUGGUGUUUGCGUUAAGCAUAGACAUGAUUGGAUUAUGUUUAUCGCCACACGGUUAUUCAUUUAAGGAGAAUAAUGGUUACUUUUUUUAUUUGAAUAAUACCUUCAAUGGUCUUGCACCUAAAAUGAAUGGUUUAUUGAAUCUCGAUCGUAGUGAUACACAUGUUCAUGCCAAAAGAUAUAAGAUAGUAAUGAUAGUACCACGUACUUGUGGCACUGCCAUUUGAGUCAUGUUGAUGGAUCUUUGUACUCACUCAUUUUUGAAAAGAUUGAGACAUGCGAACCAUGUCUAUUGGUAGAUAUGCAUGAAGAAACUCCAUGCAGAUGGAUCGUUUGGACUCACUUGAUUUUGAAUCACUUGAGACAUGCAAAUCAUACCACAUGGGCAAGAUGACUGAAAGGCCUUGUUUUCAAUAAGAUGGAACAAGAAAGCAACUAGUUGGAAGUAAUACAUUUUGAUGUGUGCAGUCCAAUGAGUGCUGAGGCAUGCAGUGGAUAUCGUUAUGUUCUUACUUCACAGAUGAUUUGAGUAGAUGCUAAGUAUAUUUACUUGAUGAAACACAAGUCUGAAUUAUUGAAAGGUUUAAGUAAUUUCAGAGUGAAGUUGAAGAUCAUCGUGACAAGAUGAUAAAAUGUCUAUGAUAUGAUCAUAGAGAUGAAUAUCUGAGUUACGAGUUUGGCACAUAAUUAAGACAUUGUGGAAAUUGUUUCACAACUAAAACCGCCUGGACCACCAUAGUGUGAUGGUGUGUCCGAACAUCACAACUGCACCCUAUUGGAUAUGGUGCAUACCAUGAUGUCUCUUAUCGAAUUACCACUAUCAUUUAUAGGUUAGGCAUUAGAGACAACCGCACUCACUUUAAAUAGGGCACCAUACAAUUCCGUUGAGACGACACCAUAUGAACUAUGGUUUAGAGAAACCUAAGCUGUCGUUUCUUAAAAGUUUGGGGCUGCGAUGCUUAUGUGGAAAAGUUUCAGGCUGAUAAGCUCGAACCCAAAGCGGAUAAAUGCAUCUUCAUAGAAUACCCAAAAAUAGUUGGGUAUACCUCCUAUUUCAGAUCCGGAAGCAAAAGUGAUUGUUUCUAGAAACGGGUCCUUUCUCAAGGAAAAGUUUCUCUCGAAAGAAUUGAGUGGGAGGAUGGUGGAGACUUGAUGAGGUUAUUGAACCGUCACUUCAACUAGUGUGUAGCAGGGCACAAGAAGUUGUUCAUGUGGCACCUACACCAAUUGAAGUGGAAGCUUAUGAUAGUGAUCAUGAAACUUCGGAUCAAGUCACUACCAAACCUCAUAGGUCGACAAGGAUGCAUACUACUUCAGAGUGGUACGUGAUCCUGUCUUGGAAGUCAUGUUGCUAGACAACAAUGAACCUACGAGCUAUGGAGAAGUGAUGGUGGGCCCAGAUUCCGAAGAAUGGCUCGAGGCCAUAAAAUCGGAGAGAGGAUCCAUGUAUAAAAUAAAGUAUAGACUUUGAAAGAACCACUUGAUGGUCGUAAGGCUAUUGGGUGCAGAUGGAUUUUAAAAGAAAGACAGACAAUGAUGGUAAGUGUCACCAUUAAGAAAGCUCUACUUGUUGUUAAGAUGUUUCCCGACAAGUUCAAGGAGUUGACUACGAUGAGACUUUCUCACUCGUAGUGAUGCUAAGAGCCUGUUGGAAUUAUGUUAGCAGUUACUGCAUUAUUUAUGAAAUCUUGCAUAUAGGAUGUAAAAAAACAUUGUUUCCUCGACAUUUUUCUUGAGGAAAGGUUGUAUGUGAUACAACCAGAAGGUUUUGUCAAUCCUGAAAGAUGCUGACAAGUAUGCAAAGCUCUAGCAAUCCUUCUGAGGACUGGCGUAAGCAUCUCGGAGUUGGAAUGUACGCUUUGAUGAGAUGAUCAAAGAUUUUGGGUUUAUACAAAGUUUAUGAGAAACUUGUAUUUCCAAAGAAGUGAGUGGGAGCACUAUAGAAUUUUUGAUGAGUAUAUGUUGUUAACAUAUUGUUGUUCAGAAAUGAUGUAGAAUUUCUGGAAAGCAUGCAGGGUUAUUUAAAAAGUGUUUUUCAAUGGAAAAUCUAGAUUAAGCUACUUAAACAUUGAGCAUCAAGAUCUAUAAGGAUAGAUCAAAAACGCUUAAUUGUACUUUCGAAUGAAUACAUACCGUGAAAAGAUUUUGAAGGAGUUCAAAAUAGAUCAGCAAAGAAGGAGUUCUUAGCUAUGUUACAAGAUGUGAAUAUUGAGUAAGACUCAAGACCUGACCACGGCAGAAGAGAGAGAAAGGACGAAGGUCGUCCCCUAUGCUUUAGACGUAGGCUCUAUAGUAUGCUAUGUUGUGUACCGCACCUGAAGUGUGCCUUGCCAUGAGUCAGUCAAGGGGUACAAGAGUGAUUCAGGAAUGGAUCACACGACAGCGGUCGAACUUAUCCUUAAUAACUAGUGGACUAAGGAAUUUUCUCGAUUAUGGAGGUGGUAAAAGAGUUCGUUGUAAAGGGUUACGUCGAUGCAAACUUUGACACUAAUCCAGAUGACUCUGAGUAGUAAAUCGGGUUCGUAUAGUACAACAGUUAUUUGGAAUAGCUCCAAGUAGCGUGUGGUAGCUACAUUUACAAGAUGACAUAGAGAUUUGUAAAGCACACAUGGAUCUGAAAGGUUCAGACUCAUUGACUAAUAAACCUCUCUCACAAGCAAGAUAUGAACAAACCCCAUGGGUGUUGGAUUCAUUGCAAUCACAUAGUGAUGUGAACUAGAUUAUUGACUCUAGUGCAAGUGGGAGACUCUUGGAAAUAUGCCCUAGAGGCAAUAAUAAAAUGGUUAUUAUUGUAUUUCCUUGUUCAUGAUAAUUGUCUAUUGUUCAUGCUAUAAUUGUAUUAACCGGAAACCGUAAUACAUGUGUGAAUACAUAGACCACAACAUGUCCCUAGUAAGUCUCUAGUUGACUAGCUCGUUGAUCAAUAGAUGGUCAUGGUUUUCUGACCAUGGACAUUGGAUGUCAUUGAUAACGGGAUCACAUCAUUAGGAGAAUGAUGUGAUGGACAAGACCCAAUCCUAAGCCUAUCACAAGAUCGUAUAGUUUGUCUGCUAAAGCUUUUCUAAUGUCAAGUAUCAUUUCCUUAGACCAUGAGCUUUUCUAAUGUCAAGUAUCAUUUCCUUAGACCAUGAGCUUUUCUAAUGUCAAGUAUCAUUUCCUUAGACCAUGAGCUUUUCUAAUGUCAAGUAUCAUUUCCUUAGACUAUUUCACGCAGCUGAUCUUUUUGUGUGGCGCCCGACACGAAGGCGUCACACUACACUGUGCAACACCUCACAGCUAGGCGCUACACGUCUGGCCAACGUCGCACCCGUGUUAUCCGAAAAUUACUAAGUCAGUGUGCAGCACCUGAAAGCUAAGCGUCACACUAUACAUUGUAGCGCCUACCUUCUAGGCGUUGCACUAGUGGUUGCUUCAUUUUGUAGUGCAACCACUAAUGCAACGCCUAUCUCUUAGACUCUGCACAUUGACUUAGCAAUUUUUAGACAGUCCGAAGUGCAACGCUGGCCAGGCGUGUAGCGCCUAUCAGUUAGGCAUUGCACAGUGCAGUGUGGCGCCUUCGUGUCGGGCGCCACUCAAAAAAAUCAGCUGAGUGAAAAAAAUUUAGAAACAGUUUAUUUUAUGAAAUGAUUUCAUCCACAAAUCAAAAUUGUUAAAUUUGCCUGGAGCCGGCUGGUACUCUUUCCAUCAGACGUAUGUCCGGCUAGAUUGUCCGGCUAGAUUUCAUUCAUCGUGCGUGAAUCGUCUGAUUUUUGUCGUGUGUAUAACACGACUCUUUUCUUUAUAUAUGUCAGACUCUUUUCUUUAUAUAUGUCGUGUGUAUAGCACGACUCUUUUCUUUAUAUAUGUCGUGUGUAUAGCACGACUCUUUUCUUUAUAUAUAUGGAACCGGUGGAGUAAGAUACACGUCGAGGGAAACACCUGAGCCGUAUGCCAUGCGCGCGCCCUUCGUCCGUGAUGCAUCUACCUCCACUGCCAAGCAAGCAUAUGCAACGAUCGUUGUGGGAUGCAAGGAUACUAAUUUGGAAUCAAGUUUGUGAAAAUAUAACGUUCCAUAAUGGAAUCCGUGGAGCACUUGUAAGUCCAGUUAAAUAGUCAAUUUCGUGUUAGCUCAACAGCACGUUCUUCAAUCAUUGCAGCCUGCAUCGCCCAGAAAGGGAGAUGCAUCUUGGUUACACAUCAUUCGUAGAGCACGACAAGAAAUACCAAAUUUACUAAAGCACGAUGUAAUCACAUACUACUAAAAACCUAUCACUGUGAAUCCUUCAGGCAAAUCAAAUAACAGGUACGAUUAGAACAAUGAGCGACAAAAUUGGUAAUAGCUUAAAGUUGAGUUCCUUUCAAUUUCUUCAACCAUGGAAACCGGACAAGAUCAAGCAGCCUUACAUCUGAGUUUGAACACCCGAAAAUUUGUUUGCCAUAUUCACAGCCAUGGGAUGAAAGCAACCAAUCCGACCACCAACUAGAAAUUCUCCUAAUACCAUACCAUCCGGGACUCUCCUGAAAACCAAGACACUAAAUCCUACGAAACAAGAAACUCCUUCGUCUUUGUGAUGCAAAUGUAAUCCAUGGUGCGGGCGGUGGCAGCGAGGGAAAGGACAGGGCCUCAGUUGUCGUCGUCAUCGACGGUGGACGCCUUGGAGGAAGAGGCCUUCUUGGGGAGGAGGUGCUGGUGGAUGUUGGGCAUCACACCGCCGCUGGCGAUGGUGGCGCCGCCGAGCAACUUGGUCAGCUCCUCGUCAUUGCGCACGGCGAGCUGGAUGUGCCGCGGCACGAUACGGGUCUUCUUGUUGUCCCUGGCGGCGUUUCCGGCCAGCUCCAGGACCUAGAUAUGGGGAAGGACGACCAGAUUAGAACAAGCAGCAACCAAUGCAAUGAAUACAAAGGAAAGCACAUCGAUUCUGCACCCGAGAAACCUUAUCUUGACGAAUUUGUACGCGAAAAUAACUUCGGUUUCGACGCAUUGCUAUUAACAGACGGCACGGUUCUAAACAGAUCUAAGAAUAGCCCGAUUUGUCGGAACCCACGACGGAACCGGAUCAAGGAAUAGAAUACCGCGAGAACAGGGGCAAGGAUGAGAUCCGCGAGAAACGCACCUCAGCGGCGAGGUACUCAAGGACGGCGGCGAGGUAGACGGGGGCGCCGGCUCCGACGCGCUCGGCGUACUUGCCGGCCUUGAGGAACCUGGCGAUCCUUCCCACGGGGAACUGCAGCCCAGCCUUGGAGCUCCGGGACGUCGCCUUCUUGGCCGCGCCGGUGCCGAUUGCCUUCCCACGACCGGCCAUCUCAGCAACCGAGGAGGGGAACGACGGGAGCCGCUACUGGGAGACGGAACGCGCGAGGGGACAGGAGGCGGUGGAGGCGAGAGGGACGCAGGUGGGAGGUUUCGCUCAGCGCGGGGGGAGAAUAUAUAGGAGGGUGGGGACGGGGCGACAGCCAAUGGGCGGCGAUCACGCGGAUCGCUGGUUUGGGCCGUCGGAUGCGCGAGAUUGGACGGUGGAUGCGAGGGACGGAGCCGCGAGGGUUCGGAUCCGGAAGCGGCGGGAGGGCGGGGGCAUAUGGGGCGGGGAAGGUUUUCGUUUUGGACUUUCCGCGGGAGUCCAGGUCUCUAUGGGAAUCGACGGAGUGGUCACGUGUUUUAAUUUUCUAUAUGGCCCACUUGUCGGUGUUAUUUCUUCUCCAGUAAAGAUGCGGGCUUGGUCCACCAAUAAUGUAACUUUGCCUUAAAAAAACAAUAAUGUAACUCCCGACCUAUGGAGCAGGAGUAUGUACUUUUGCAACCACAUGCAUAUGUCUGUGUAUUAAGGCUAAUCACAAUGGGCAAGAACAUAGUCUAGUAACUUAGACACUUCCCUAGACUAUGUUACUAUUUUCACAGUGGGUAGGAAUAUCUAUGUAGUGUCAUGCAACAAUGUAUUUAUUAGGCUAGUCACAAUGGGCAAGAGCAUAGUCUAGUAACUUAGACACUUCCCUAGACUAUGUUACUAUCUCCACAGUGGGUAGGAAUAUCUAUAUAGUGUCAUGCAACAAUGUAUUUAUUAGGUUAUAGACUCAUUGUUUUUUGGAGUGUGUGAUGUUCCGGUAACUUAGCUAGUUACCACAAGCACCUCUCUCUUCAUUAAAUAUGUGACACAUAAGUAAAGUUGUAUUGGAGUGUGUGAUGUUACUCCUAAGUUCCUCCCCAUUGUGACCAGCAUAAUGCUACGGAAUGGACAAUAAGACCUUUUUUUCCGAGAUAAUGUACAAUGGAACUUCAAAACCUCGACAUCUUUAAAUUGCCGAGGUUUCAUUAAGCAGGGUAAGGGCUACUACAAGUUCAGCUUAUUCAAACAAAAUAUGAAGAUUUAACACAAAACUCAAGUUUUAUACCUGGUUUUACCUUUGUCGACUUUUUAAUCUUCAGAGUUGUGUUUAAUUAUUUUCAGAAGACCUCGUUUGAAUUCAAUAGUUUUUCGUAAAAUAACCAGUAUAAAAGGAAUCAAGCAUGGAUCGAUCAUUAUGAGAAAACCGAGUAUAAAAAUUAUGUAUGAUAAUUUCUCUUGAGAGCUAAUGAUUGGGCAUUUGUACAUAAUGUACUUAAACCUUCCAUAAACUUAAACGAUACUUUCUCUUCACGAGGCCAAAAAAUAUACAUAUAAUUCUGGUUACGAUGAACCAGAUGCAUAGGAUAAAACUUCCGGUGAAAUUGCAAUUUCAAUCGGUUUCAAUCGCAUGUUCAAUAUCAUCACAUAGCAUAUAUGAUAUACCAUGCCAAUGUCUUUACCUCCAAAGAUAAAGGGAAAAUCUUUUUCUUAACUCCAUCGUCGGAUAAACCUGCAAACUUAAACAAUCCAUAAAUUCCAUCCACGUAGAUUAAGUGCAUAUCAGGAUGUAUUGUUUCAUCUCCUACAUAAAAAUUAGCUAGCAGUUUCUCUAUCAUACCCGAAGGAAUCUAAUAAUAAAUAUUUUCAAUAUGUGCAGUAGGUUGAGGGCAACUCUUUGUGCCUCCGGUCGAGAUGAAGAUUUGCCACUAUAAUUUUGGGAUUAUACAUUAGAGACAAAUACAUUCACUUUAAAUAGGGUAUCAUCUAAAUCCAUGAUAUGACACCAUACGAAAUAUGGUUUGGCAAGAAACCUAUGUUGACGUUUCUUAAAGUUUUGGGAUGCGGUACUUAUGCGUGAUAAGCUCGAAUCCAAAGAGGAGAAAUGCAUCUUCAUAUAAUACCUUAUAUCACAAAUCUGAAGGCAAAUUUUUGUUGUCAAGAAUGGAUUCUUUCCAGAGAAAGAGUUUUCUCUCGAAAGAAGUGAGUGGGAGAAAGAUAGAGCUUGAUGAGGUUAUCGAACCUUCACUUGAAUCUGAAAGUAGCGCAUCGCAUAAAGGUGUUCCUAUGAUGCGUACACCAAUUGAAGAGGAAUCUAAAGAUGCUGAUCAUGAAACUUCGGAUCAAGUCAGUACCGAACCUCGUAGGUCGACAAGGACAUGUACUGCCCUGAGUGGUACGGUAAUCCUGUCAUGGAAGUCAUGUUGUUAUACAACAAUGAGCCUACAAACUAUCAGGAAGCAAUGAUGGGCCCGGAUUCUGACAAGUGGCUAGAAGCCAUGAAAUCCGAGAUAGGAUCCAUGUAUGAGAACCAAGUGUGGACUUUGAUAGACUUACCUGAUGAACGACAGGCCAUCAAGAACAAAUAAAUCUUUAAGAAGAAGACAAAUGCUGAUGGUAAUGUCACUGUCUAUAAAGCUCGACUGACCGCAAAGGGUUUUUGGCAAGUUCAAUGAGUUAACUACGAUGAGACUUUCUCACCCUUAGCAAUGGUUAAGUCUGUUAGAAUUAUGUUAGCAAUUACUGCAUAUUUUAUUAAUGAAAUCUCGCGGAUGGAUGCGAAAACCGCUUUCCUUAAGGAAAAGAUAUAUAUGAUGCAACCCAAAGGUUUUGUGGAUCCUAAGGAUGCUAAAAAGGUAUGCAAACUCCAACGAUCCAUCUAUGGACUGGUGCAAGCAUCUCGGAGUUGGAAUAUACGCUUUGAUGAGGUGAUCAAAGUUUUUUGGGUUUAUACGAAGUUUAUGAAGAAACUUGUAUUUACAAGAGAGUGAGUGAGAACUCUAUAGCAUUUCUGAUAAGUAUGUGUGGAUAACAUAUUAUUGAUGUUGGGGAACGUUGCAUGGGAAAUAAAAAAAUUCCUACGCUCACCAAGAUCAAUCUAGGAUAUGAACAUCUAUGAGAGGAGAGAUUGGAUCCACAUACCCUUUAGAUCGCUAAGCCGAAGCGUUAAGAAACGUGGUUGUUGUAGUUGUAAUUGCAUCUAGUGCCUCUUAGUGAUUUUGGUGUAUUGAAGACUUAUAGGUUAAGGGACUAAUGCGUUUGUGAGUGUACACAGGUCUAUAAGUCUAUGAGGAGUUUGAUAUUUACAGAGAAAAUCGACCCCUGAAAAUGAAGUUCUUCGACUGAAGACUUUGUAUUCCUGAAUACUUUCUGAAGACUUUGAAAGUGAAGAAAUUGGUGUAAUCCUGAAGACUUGGUAUUCAUUCGAGGAACAUGAAGCGUGAAGACUUUUUGUUUUCGCGGUUUCUUUUUCUCUUUCUUGAGUCAUAGGAAACACCGUACUAUUAAAGGGGUCGAGGAAAUACUAAGGAAAAAUUUCCAAGUGUUGCUCAACUCAAAUCCUACACCUACCAAUCCCUUCGAGUGAAGCCAUUGGAAAUCUCAUACAGUUCAGUCGAUUUCUUCAGUGACAGAGACAAAGUUCUUCUGUCUCCGAGGAAUUUGUUCUGACUGAGGAGUUAGGAAUUCGCCAGCGCGGAUUGCCUACACUGUGAGGAACAUGAUAGCCCUGAGGAAUUUGAUACUCAAAAUUCCGACCGUUGUUGUGCUAUGCGCCAGCUGUCCCAAAAUAUCUACCCACUUAACGGUCAUAUCAUUGAAGGGCAUUUAUGUCUUAUCAUGUCGGGCUGCUCCCUAGGCUAUAAAUAGCCACCCCCUACAACCACUAGCUGGUUGGCUGCUCCGAGAGAAACUGACACUUGUCAUUUGAGAGCAUCACAUCCUUCGAGGACUUUGAGUGAAAAUCAUCAAGUGAGGAAAACCCAAACACAAACACCUAUAAACCCAAAGUGAUUGAGCAUCACUGAAGAGAUUGAUCCUGCGUGCAUCCGACACUUGUUACCUUUGAAGACUGUGCAUCUUCCACACGGUUAGGCGUCAUGGUCUAGAGCAUCCAAGAGGAAAUUGUGGAUCGCCGAGUGACCAAGUCUGUGAAGGUUUGGAAGUCACAUGAAGACUUACCACGAGUAAUUGGGUGAGAUCUGUGGGACCUUAGCUCAAGGGGAAUACGGUGAGGACUAAGUGUCCUGAGCUGCGUGUUCAGGACUGGGUGUCCGGGACUGUGUGUCCUCAGGUUUAAAUAUCUAGCCGCCCUAACCAGACGUACAACUAUCACAACAGUUGGAACUGGUCUACCAAAUCAUUGUCUUCACCGAGCUAACUGGUUCCAUUUCCUCAACCCUUUCAUUUCCUCAUUUCUGUGUUGUUGACGAAUUUGAAGACCUAAGAAGAAUUUCAAUUCUCCCAUCAUAGACAUUUCAUAUUCCUCCCUCAUCAUAAAACCAAAUUCAUGAGUAUAACGUUGGUCAGUACAGCCAAAGAUAAUAUCAUCAACAUAUAUUUGGCACACAAAAAUUCACCAUCAUAAGAUUUAGUGAAAAGAAUUGGGUCAAGUGAACCAGGUUUGAAGCCUUUCUUCAUGAGGAAUUCCUUCAAGGUAUCAUACCACGCCCGUGGGGCCUACUUGAGGCCAUAGAGGGCCUUAUUCAGUCUGAAGACUUUGUCAGGAUGCUUUGGAUCUUUAAAACCUAGGGGUUGCGCAACAUAUACUUCUUCCUCAAGCUUACCAUUGAGGAAUGCACUUUUCACAUCCAUUUGAUAUAAAGUGAUAUCAUGAUGGUUAGCAUAAGCAAGUAAUAUGCGAAUAGCUUCAAGUCUAGCAACAAGUGCAAAAGUUUCAUCGAAAUCAAUUCCUUCAACCUGUGUGUAGCCUUGAGCUACAAGUCGUGCCUUAUUCCUCACCACAAGGCCAUUUUCAUCUUGCUUGUUGCGGUAGAUCCAGUUUGUGCAGAUGAUAUUGUGCUUUUGAGGAUCUAGACGUUUGACCAGUUCCCAGACGUUGUUGAGCUUGAAUUGAUGUAAUUCCUCUUGCAUAGCUUGAAUCCACUCAGCCUCCAGAAAUGCUUCAUCUACCUUAGCGGGCUCUGCGAUAGAGACGAAAGCAAAGUGCCCACAAAAGUGAGAUAAAUGUGAAGCUCUUGAGCGUGUGAAAGGACCUGGAAUGUUGAUGUCGCUGAUGAUUUUCUCAAUUUGCACUUCAUUUGCGACGCGAGGAUGAACGGGUUGUCGUUGAGGAAUUUGAUCAACAUUUUCUUCAACAUCAUUUUCCUCAUGUGCAUCAACAUGACGUUCUUCAUGUUCUGGAAUAACUUCUUCAGCAUAUUCUUCAAUAGGAAUGACAUCCUCUGUAGCCUUGAACUUAAUAGAUUCCUCAGGAGGUAUUUCAUCUGUCACACGAGGUAGGUGCUCUCUUUGUGAGCCAUUAGUUUCAUCGAACCGCACAUUUACAGUUUCAACAACCUUGUGAUGACAGGUGUUGAAGACUCUGUAGGUGUGCGAGUCCUUACCAUAACCGAGCAUAAACCCUUCAUGUGCUUUCGGUGCAAAUUUAGAAUUGUGAUGAGGAUCUCUAAUCCAACAUUUAGUACCGAAGACUUUGAAAUAACUCACAUUGGGUUUCUUGUCAGUGAGGAGUUCAUAUGCGGUCUUCUUAAAGAAUUUGUGAAGAUAUACCCUGUUGAUGAUGUGGCACGCAAUAUCGAUUGCCUUAGGCCAAAAGCGAGGAGGCAUCUUGUACUCAUCAAGCAUAGUGCGGGCCAUCUCAAUAAGAGUCCCAUUGUUGCGCUCUACGACGCCAUUUUGCCGAGGAGUAUAAGGAGCAGAUAACUCAUGAGUAAUACCAAGUUCAUCAAGAUAGUCAUCAAGACCAGUGUUCUUGAACUCAGUUCCAUUAUCACUUCUGAUGUGCUUCAUCUUCACACCAAAUUUGGUUGAAGCCCUCGAUGAAAAUCAUUUGAAGACUUCCUGCACUUCAGUUUUGUAAGUGAUGAUAUGGACCCAUGUAUAUCGAGAGUAAUCAUCAACAAUGACAAAGCCAUAUAAAGAUGCAGCAUUAGUGAAUGUGGCAUAGUGAGUAGGGCCAAAGAGAUCCAUGUGAAGUAAUUCAAAUGGUCGAGAAGUAGUCAUGAUAGUCUUCGCUGGAUGCUUGGCCUUGGUCAUCUUUCCAGCUUCACAGGCUCCGCACAAGUGACCCUUGAGGAAUUUGACAUUUUCAAUGCCAAUGACAUGCUUCUUCUUCGCGAGCGUGUGUAAAUUCCUCAUGCCAGCAUGACCAAGUCGACGACGCCAUAGCCAACCUUCUGAAGCUUUUGCAAGUAGACAUGUAGCAGGUUGUGGUCCUGUAGAGAAAUCAACAAUAUAGAAAUCUCCUCUCCUAAAGCCUUCGAAUUCUUUGGAAUUGUCAACUUCCAUGAUCACAACACAACGAUACUCGCCAAAGACAACAACCAUAUCUGAAGGAAAUAUGCCCUAGAGGCAAUAAUAAAGUUAUUGUUUAUUUCCUUAUUUCAUGAUAAAUGUUUAUUAUUCAUGCUAGAAUUGUAUUAACCGGAAACAUAAUACAUGUGUGAAUACAUAGACAAACAAAGUGUCACUAGUAUGCCUCUACUUGACUAGCUCGUUAAUCAAAGAUGGUUAUGUUUCCUAACCAUAGACAUGUGUUGUCAUUUGAUUAACGGGAUCAUAUCAUUAGGAGAAUGAUGUGAUUGACAUGACCCAUUCCAUUAGCUUAGCACCUGAUCGUUUAGUAUGUUGCUAUUGUUUUCUUCAUGACUUAUACAUGUUCCUAUGACUAUGAGAUUAUGCAACUCCCGUUUGCCGGAGGAACACUUUGUGUGCUACCAAAUGUCACAACGUAACUGGGUGAUUAUAAAGGAGCUCUACAGGUGUCUCCAAAGGGACAUGUUGGGUUGGCGUAUUUCGAGAUUAGGAUUUGUCACUCCGAUUGUCGGAGAGGUAUCUCUGGGCCCUCUCGGUAAUGCACAUCACAUAAGCCUUGCAAGCAUUGCAACUAAUGAAUUAGUUGCGAGAUGAUGUAUUAUGAAACGAGUAAAGAGACUUGCCGGUAACGAGAUUGAACUAGGUAUUGAGAUACCGACGAUCGAAUCUCGGGCAAGUAACAUACCGAUGACAAAGGGAACAACGUAUGUUGUUAUGCGGUCUGACCGAUAAAGAUCUUCGUAGAAUAUGUAGGAGCCAAUAUGAGCAUCCAGGUUCCGCUAUUGGUUAUUGACCGGAGACGUGUCUCGGUCAUGUCUACAUUGUUCUCGAACCCGUAGGGUCCGCACGCUUAAGGUUUCGAUGACGGUUAUAUUAUGAGUUUAUGAGUUUUGAUGUACAGAAGUUAGUUCGGAGUCCCGGAUGUGAUCACGGACAUGAUGAGGAGUCUCGAAAUGGUCGAGACAUAAAGAUUGAUAUAUUGGACGGCUAUAUUCGGACACCGGAAGUGUUCCGGGUGAUUUCGGAGAAAACUGGAGAGCCGGAGGGUUACCGAAACCCCCCCGGGAGAAGCAAUGGGCCAUAUGGGCCUUAGUGGAGAGAGAGAGGGGCAGCCAAAGGUGGGCCGCGCGCCUCCUCCCCCCUGGUCCGAAUUGGACUAGGAGAAGGGGGGCGGCGCCCCCCUUUCCUUCUCCCUCCCCACUUCUUUCCCCCUCCUAGUAGGAGUCUUACUCCUACUAGGAGGAGGACUCCUCCUUGGCGCGCCAUAGGGGCCGGCCGGCCCCCUCCCCUUGAUCCUUUAUAUACGGGGGCAAGGGGCACCCCUAGACACACAAGUUGAUCCACGUGAUCAUAUUCUUAGCCGUGUGCGGUGCCCCCUUCCACCAUAAUCCUCGAUAAUAUUGUAGCGGUGCUUAGGCGAAGCCCUGCGAUGGUAGUACAUCGAGAUCGUCACCACGUCGUCGUGGUGAUGGAACUCUACCCCGACACUUUGCUGGAUCGGAGUCCGGGGAUCGUCAUCGAGCUGAACGUGUGCUAAAACUCGGAGGUGCCGUAGUUUCGGUGCUUGAUCGGUCGGGCCGUGAAGACGUACGACUACAUCAACCGCAUUGUGCUAACGCUUCCGCUGUCGGUCUACAAGGGUACGUAGGUCACACUCUCCCCUCUCAUUGCUAUGCAUCACCAUGAUCUUGCGUGUGCGUAGGAAUUUUUUUGAAAUUACUACGUUCCCCAACAGUGGCAUCCGAGCUUAGGUUUUAUGUGUUGAUGUUAUAUGCACGAGUAGAACACAAGUGAGUUGUGGGCGAUAUAAGUCAUACUGCUUACCAGCAUGUCAUACUUUGGUUCGGCGGUAUUGUUGGACGAAGCGGCCCGGACCGACAUUACGCGUACACUUACGCGAGACCGGUUCUCCCGACGUGCUCUGCACAAAGGUGGCUAGCGGGUGACAGUUUCUCCAACUUUAGUUGAACCGAGUGUGGCUACGCCCGGUCCUUGCGAAGGUUAAAACAGCACCAACUUGACAAACUAUCGUUGUGGUUUUGAUGCAUAGGUAAGAUUGGUUCUUGCUUAAGCCCGUAGCAGCCACGUAAAACUUGCAACAACAAAGUAGAGGACGUCUAACUUGUUUUUGCAGGGCAUGUUGUGAUGUGAUAUGGUCAAGACAUGAUGCUAAAUUUUAUUGUAUGAGAUGAUCAUGUUUUGUAACCAAGUUAUCGGCAACUGGCAUGAGCCAUAUGGUUGUCGCUUUAUUGUAUGCAAUGCAAUUGCGCUGUAAUGCUUUACUUUAUCACUAAGCGGUAGCGAUAGUCGUGGAAGCAUAAGAUUGGCGAGACGACGACAAUGCUACAAUGGUGAUCAAGGUGUCGCGCCGGUGAUGAUGGUGAUCACGACGGUGCUUCGAAGAUGGAGAUCACAAGCACAAGAUGAUGAUGACCAUAUCAUAUCACUUAUAUUGAUUGCAUGUGAUGUUUAUCUUUUAUGCAUCUUAUCUUGCUUUGAUUGAUGGUAGCAUUUUAAGAUGAUCUCUCACUAAUUAUCAAGAAGUGUUCUCCCUGAGUAUGCACCAUUGCGAAAGUUCUUCGUGCAGAGACACCACGUGAUGAUCGGGUGUGAUAGGCUCUACGUUCAAAUACAACGGGUGCAAAACAGCUGCACACGCGGAAUACUCAGGUCAUACUUGACGAGCCAAGCAUAUACAGAUAUGGCCUCGGAACACGGAGACCGAAAGGUCGAGCGUGAAUCAUAUAGUAGAUAUGAUCAACAUAGUGAUGUUCACCAAUGAAACUGCUCCAUCUCACGUGAUGAUCAGACAUGGUUUAGUUGAUUUGGAUCACGUGAUCACUCAGAGGAUUAGAGGGAUGUCUAUCUAAGUGGGAGUUCUUAAGUAAUAUGAUUAAUUGAACUUAAAUUUAUCAUGAACUUAGUCCUGGUAGUAUUUUGCAAAUUAUGUUGUAGAUCAAUAGCUUGCGUUGUUGCUUCCCUGUGUUUAUUUUGAUAUGUUCCUAGAGAAAAUUGUGUUGAAAAAUGUUAGUAGCAAUGAUGCGGAUUGGAUCCGUGAUCUGAGGUUUAUCCUCAUUGCUGCACAGAAGAAUUAUGUCCUUGAUGCACCGCUAGGUGACAGACCUAUUGCAGGAGCAGAUGCAGACGUUAUGAACGUUUGGCUAGCUCAAUAUGAUGACUACUUGAUAGUUUAGUGCACCAUGCUUAACGGCUUAUAAUCGGGACUUCAAAGACGUUUUGAACGUCAUGGAACAUAUGAGAUGUUCCAGGAGUUGAAGUUAAUAUUUCAAGCAAAUACCCGAGUUGGGAGAUAUGAAGUCUCCAACAAGUUCUAUAGCUAAAAGAUGGAGGAGAAUCGCUCAACUAGUGAGCAUGUGCUCAGAUUGUCUGGGUACUACAAUUACUUGAAUCAAGUGGGAGUUAAUCUUCCAGAUAAAAUAGUGAUUGACAGAAUUCUCUAGUCACCAUUACCAAGUUAGUAGAACCUCGUGAUGAACUAUGAUAUGCAAGGGAUAACGGAAACGAUUCCCAAGCUCUUCGUAAUGCUGAAAUUGACGAAGGUAGAAAUCGAGAAAAACAUCAAGUGUUGAUGGUAGACAAGACCACUAGUUUCAAGAAAAGGGCAGAGGGAAGAAGGGGAACUUCAAAAAGAACAGUAAGCAAGUUGCUGCUCAAGCGAAGAAGCCCAAGUCUGGUCCUAAGCCUAAGACUAAGUGCUUCUACUGCAAAGGGACUGGUCACUAGAAGCGGAACUACCCCAAGUGAUUGGCGGAUAAGAAGGAUGGCAAAGUGAACAUAAGUAUAUUUGAUAUACAUGUUAUUGAUGUGUACUUUACUAGUGUUUAUAGCAACCCCUCAGUAUUUGAUACUAGUUCAGUUGCUAAGACUAGUAACUCAAAACGGGAGUUGCAGAAUAAACAGAGACUAGUUAAGGGUGAAGUGACGAUGUGUGUUGGAAGUGGUUCCAAGAUUGAUAUGAUCAUCAUCACACACUCCCUAUAAUUUCGGGAUUAGUGUUGAACCUAAAUAAGUGUUAUUUGGUGUUUGCGUUGAGCAUGAAUAUGAUUUGGUCAUGUUUAUUGUAAUACGGUUAUUCAUUUAAGUAAGAGAAUAAAUUGUUGUUCUGUUUACAUGAAUAAAACCUUAUAUGGUUACACACCCAAUGAAAAUAGUUCGUUGGAUCUCGAUCGUAGUGAUACACAUAAUCAUAAUAUUGAAACCAAAAGAUGCAAAGUUAAUAAUGAUAGUGCAACUUAUUUGUGGCACUGCCGUUUAGGUCAUAUUGGUGUAAAGCGCAUGAAGAAACUCCAUACUGAUGGGCUUUUGGAAUCAAUUGAUUAUGAAUCAGUUGAUGCUUGCGAACCAUGCCUCAUGGGCAAGAUGACUAAGACUCUGUUCUUCGGAACAAUGGAGCGAGCAACAGAUUUGUUGGAAAUCAUACAUAAUGAUGUAUGUGGUCCGAUGAAUACUGAGGCUCGCGACAGGUAUCAUUAUUUUCUGAUCUUCACAUAUGAUUUGAGCAGAUAUGAGUAUAUCUACUUGAUGAAACAUAAGUCUGAAACAUUUGAAAAGUUCAAAGAAUUUCAGAGUGAAGUGAAAAAUCAUCGUAACAAGAAAAUAAAGUUUUUAUGAUCUGAUCGUAGAGAAGAGUAUUUGAGUUACGAGUUUGGCCUUCAGUUAAAAACAAUGUGAAAUAGUUUCACUACUCAUGCCACCUGGCACACCACAAUGUAAUGGUGUGUCCGAAUGUCAUAACCGUACUUUAUUAGAUAUGGUGCGAUCUAUGAUGUCUCUUACCGAUCUACCACUAUCGUUUUGGGGUUAUGCAUUAGAGACAACUGCAUUCACGUUAAAUAGGACACCAUCUAAAUCCGUUGAAACGACACCGUAUGAACUAUGGUUUGGCAAGAAACCUAAGUUGUCGUUUCUUAAAGUUUGAGGUUGCAAUGCUUAUGUGAAAAAGUUUCAACCUGAUAAGCUCAAACCAAAUCGAAGAAGUGCGUCUUCAUAGGACACCCAAAAGAAAAUGUUGGGUACACCUUCUAUCACAGAUCCGAAGGCAAGAUAUUCGUUGCUUUGAAUGGAUCCUUUCUAGAGAAGGAAUUUCUCUCGAAAGAAGUGAGUGGGAGGAAAGUAGAACUUGAUGAGGUAACUGUACCUGCUCCCUUAUUGGAAAGUAGUUCAUCACAGAAAUCUGUUCCUGUGACUACUAGACCGGUUAGUGAGGAAGCUAAUGAUGAUGAUCAUGUAACUUCAGAUCAAGUUACUACCGAACCUCGUAGGUAAAACCAGAGUGAAAUCCGCACCAGAGUGGUACGGUAAACCAGUUCUGGAGGUCAUGUUACUUGACCAUGAUGAGCCUACGAACUAUGAGGAAGCGAUGAUGAGCCCAGAUUCCGCGAAAUGGCUUGAGGCCAUGAAAUCUGAGAUGAGAUCCAUGUAUGAGAACAAAGUAUGGACUUUGAUUGACUUGCCCAAUAAUUGGCGAGCCAUUGAGAUUAAAUGGAUCUUCAAGAGGAAGACGGACGUUGAUAGCAGUGUUACUAUCUACAAAGCUAGAAUUGUCGCAAAAAGGUUUUCGACAAGUUCAAGGUGUUGACUGCGAUGAGAGUUUCUCACUC